UGGGGAAUCUUGGACAAUGGGGGCAACCCUGAUCCAGCCAUGCCGCGUGAGUGAUGAAGGCCUUCGGGUCGUAAACUCCUGUCAGUAGGGACGAAAAAGUAGGGUCGAACAGGCCUUGCCAUUGACGGUACCUGCAGAGGAAGCCCCGGCUAACUCCGUGCCAGCAGCCGCGGUAAUACGGAGGGGGCAAGCGUUAUUCGGAAUUACUGGGCGUAAAGGGCGUGUAGGCGGCUUGAUAGGUCAAAAGGUGAAAUCCCUCGGCUCAACCGAGGAACUGCCUUUGAAACCAUCUGGCUCGAGGCUGGGAGGGGGUAGCGGAAUUCCUGGGUGUAGCGGUGAAAUGCGUAGAUAUCAGGAGGAACACCAGUGGCGAAGGCGGCUACCUGGACCAGUUCUGACGCUGAGGCGCGAAAGCGUGGGG
rnacentral:rRNA from 1 species